rnacentral:rRNA from 1 species
GACGAACGCUGGCGGCGUGCUUAACACAUGCAAGUCGAACGGUAAGGCCCUGCUUUUGUGGGGUGCUCGAGUGGCGAACGGGUGAGUAACACGUGAGUAACCUGCCCUUGACUUUGGGAUAACUUCAGGAAACUGGGGCUAAUACCGGAUAGGAGCUCCUGCGGCAUGGUGGGGGUUGGAAAGUUUCGGCGGUUGGGGUUGGACGCGCGGGUUAUCAGCUUGUUGGUGGGGGAGUUGCUUACCAAGGCUUUGAAGGGUCGCCGGCCUGUGAGGGUGACCGGCCACAUUGGGACUGAGAGACGGCCCAGACGCCUACGGGAGGCAGCAGUGGGGAGUAUUGCACAACGGGCGGAAGCCUGAUGCAGCAACGCCGCGUGCGGGAUGACGGCCUGCGGGUUGCAAACCGCUUUCGCCUGUGACGAAGCGCGAGUGACGGUAAUGGGUAAAGAAGCACCGGCUAACUACGUG